ensembl:lincRNA
UAUAGCUGUAAAUACAGCUUACAAGAGCAGAGUUGGGGAGAGGUAUUCUCUACUUUAAGGUCAUUCCACACUGGCCUGGUGGCUCUUUAAACCAGGUCAUGUCUUUAUACUUUGUAGGCCCUAAAGAUACGUGGGAGAUUUCCUAGAACCAGCCUCUUCCAUUGAUCUUCUCUGGUCCUGUCCUUCACCUCCUUUAGUUUUGAUCUCUACCUUCUGCAACACCCAAUUCUUUAUAGUGUGACCCCUUUACUUGUGUCCAGUCUUGGCCCUUCCAAUCUUAGUGUUGGCACAUAAGCUUCCCGAUUUGGGGUCUGAGACUUUCUCCUGGGAAUUAGGACUUGGCACAUGAGCUGGGGCAGAAGUUUUAUAGAUCAGUCUCAGUUCCCACAAUAAACUCAGCUCUGGAACUGACAUUCAGCUGGAAGCCAGGCAGCCAUGCCCAUGCAGCCUUCCUUUCUUUCCUCUUUUCUCCAGGGUGGGAAGCAGGAGCAGAUUAUCUACCAGAGGAUUUGGGACCAUGAUAAACUCCUAGGAGCUCCACUUGGUGGCCUGGGAUGCCAGAAAUGUGCCUCAUCUGUAAAGGCUUUCCAACCCUGGGAUUCAAACAAGAUAUGAGAAAAUGAUACCGGGGAUUGAGAGUUCCUAACUCACACCCAACCUGAGGAAGCUGAUUUAGCAACUCAGUCCUACACCACCCCAUCGUUUUGGACCAGAACACUGGCCUAACUCCACUCACAAGAACAGAAAAACAAGAAACUGUACAUCAUUGGCCCUUAGCUCCAGGAGUUUCAUCUUAGUGGAAGAUGUGCAUCAAAUCCGACCUUCUAAAGGAGAAAACUGACCUUUAUGGGAGUAGAUACUUCAAUUUCAAUCAGGAAGAUGCAGUGAAUUUCAAUUGUUCUUUCUCAGUUAAUAUUUAUGAAUGUUAAAUGCAUCGGAGAGGAGCAAAUAUCAAGAAUAUCAUCUCAUUUGAAAGCUACAGUUUAGAGAAGCAGCUACACAAAUGGCGCUGAGUAUCCCAAAUUACUCAGUGCCUUAAAUCUGUUCAAAUAAGCAAGGUCCAGGCAGUAUGUAGACUGACUAGAGCAGAGGCUGCAAGCUGUCUGCCUCAAAUUUACUUCUUCCCUUCUUCCUUCACAACAGGACACACUCUAUUCUAGUACUUACUAUCCUGGGCACUCCAGAACAAAGACUGCAUUUUCCGGAUGCCCUGGCAGCAAGAUGAGGGCCUCUAACUAAGUUCUGGCUGAUGAAUACAAACGGAAAUGUUAUGAGAGACUUCCAAAGUGCCAGGGAGGAGGUAGCACACAUGUCUGGCUUUAGCACAUCCUCCCUCAAGUUGGCAGGAGUAUAGAUGUGGUGGCCAUGUUGGGUGACAAAAAAGAAAGGUACAAAAGACCUGGCUUCCUGAAGAUCAUGAUUUGGAUGGAUGCAGCCUGAUCUCAAAAUAUGGUGAAUGUUAAAAUUGUUUAAAAAUCUUAUUAGAGUAAAAGAUGGGUCAGCAUUAACUCCCCCUUAAAAUGCUGCCCCUUUCUUUGAACACUCUUAUGUCACUGUUCCUGCCAUGCUCUGGACCUGUUCCUGAAGCCCUUCCAUGAGUGUCUUUGGUUGUGCUGUUGUAGCUGCCUCAAUGUCCUGAAUCAAUUAAAAAAUAUUUACACUUCACAGUCAUUUUGACUUUGGGGAAAAAAGUAGAAGUUGCACAAUGCUAAAUCUUGUGAGUGACAUAGGUGAGGACCCAUUAUAAUAUUUCUAUUUGACUAAAAUUACCAUAAACAUUUGAUCAAUGCAGGCUGAUCAUAAAAAUACAUUUCAUGUACUUUUAAAUUUUAAAAUUUGUUGUAGAAAAAAAUACAUUGACAUUAAUCUCCUGUCAAAAUUACUCUCCCGAGC